AUUUAAGGUGAUUCCGCAUUAGUUUUCAUAACAUAUGAGAAAUAACAUGCAAAUAUGAAAGCAAAGAAAUGAAAGGCUUCCUAGUUCCAAGACAUUGUGAAAUGAAUGAGUUAGAAAGAUGUUGUUGUAAAUAGUUUACUUUCAUUAAAAAAUGUAUCUUGCUAUUGGUAUGUUUAUUGAAAAAUAUAAUAAAAUAUGCCUAAAUUCCGAAGACCAAAUACUAACAUACCUUUACGAUAUUACGCACAAUAUGAAUGUAAAAUUAAUAAAUACACACCAAAGAAGUGACGACAAAAGUCUAAAAAGAGAUUUUCUCAUUAUUUACCGAAUAAAUUUGAAAGCCACGAGGAACAUGCACACCUUAUCUUCGCCAUUUUUGUUUUUUCAUGCCCGUGCAUAAAGACAUUUCAACACAAAAUCUCGCGAAUGUAAGCCAAUAACAUAUAAUAAAAAGACGCAUUUCAUUUAACACUGAUAUGUAUCUUAUCAAAUAUUACCAUUUCAUUGGGAUUUCAUGGCUUGAUCUUUCUAAUUGUUUAAUAGUAUCUGUCAGUAUUUCAAUGUUUACAUUUUUCUAUUGCGGCAGGAAAUGGAGACUGUUCACAAUCUCAUAUGUUAAUACGCACAUUGAGUAUUAAAUAUAAAGAUAAUAUCUUUAUGAUUUAUACAUUCAAGGUACUUCUUUUAUUCAAUCUAAAUUAAAUAUAAAUUGAAUUUUCUUUUUAGCAAAGCAGAUGUUACACAAAACGCCGAAUGUAAAGAUUUUUUUUUUAUGUAUUUAUAAUCCGUAUUUGUAAAGCGGUUUAUUUCCGGUUUUGUUGAUUCUCACAUUAUCUAUAAAAAAUAUACUUAAUCGAGUUAACGAUAUAGGGCCUAUUGCAUGGCAGGUGUACCUUUUUAAUAAUAAAUAUGUUUGAAAGUAAAGGACAAGAUCUUAAAAUUAUAUCAUUAUUAAUCGUUUAGCGAUGAAAAAGUAAUACAUUGAUUUUAUAUCCUAUUUUCCUAUAAUUCACGCGCAAUUUCAUUUCCAUUUUCAGAAGCGGUUAGUUUGCAGAACAUAACCCCGCAAGUUAAUCAAACAACCCUGUUUACUAAAACAUGGCGGCAUUUCAACGGUGACAUGAAAGUGUUAUAUUUUGUUGAUGCAUCAAGAAGAUAUUUUGUUGAAGAAAAGGCCUACCAUUAAAGCAGUUCAACCCGACAAAUGUUCAGUUGCAAAUGAACCAUCAACAUCAUCCAGUGAUAUACCUCCAUCUUGUUCCCAGAGUAAAAGGAUCAGGAAACAGAAAUUUGUUGGAAGGAGAAUAAAUCAUCAGUGGAAGUUAGAUGACGGUUCAUUAAACUGGUAUACUGGAUCAGUACUUUCAGUAACCAAAGGGAAAGACGGUAACCCACAUGCUGUGUAUCAACUUUUAUAUGAUGGUGAAGAUGAAUCUUAUGAUGUUGAGGAUUUACAAAUUGAUUUCCUUGAUGGAUCAUUGAAAUUUAUUGAUAUAUAAAUUAAAGGUUUAUUCUCAUUGUUUCAAGAAGAUAGUUUUUGUAUGCACUAAUAAAGACUUUAAUCUGGAUAUUGCCAUUCAUGAAUUGUGAAUAAAACCCUAUACAAGAUUGAAUUUGGUCUUCAGAAAUUGAACACUUUACAGGUAAAUAUUUUUAUUGUUAUAUUUCUUAAAUUUAUGAAUUUUAUUCAUAAAUGCAUUCUCUUUAAAGUUUUAUUGCAAAUGGUUCAUCUUUUGACAUUAUGACAAUUGUCUUUAUAAAAGUUUAAUCUUAUUUCAAUUUGC